rnacentral:misc_RNA from 1 species
GAUGAAGAACGCAGCGAAAUGCGAUACUUGGUGUGAAUUGCAGAAUCCCGUGAACCAUCGAGUCUUUGAACGCAAGUUGCGCCUCAAGCCAUUAGGUUGAGGGCACGUCUGCCUGGGCGUCACAUAUCGUUGCCUGAUGCCAGUUUCCUCGUGAUGGGUGACUGUGCAGGGCGAAUGAUGGCUUCCCGUGAGCAUUGUUGCCUCAUGGUUUGUUGAAAAUUGAGUCCUUGGUAGGGAGCGCCGUGAUAGAUGGUGGUUGAGUGACGAACGAGACCCAAUCAUGUGAGACCCCUACCGAAUUUGGCCUUCAUGACCCACAUGCGUCUUUGGAACGCUCAUGACGAGACCUCAGGUCAGGCGGGGCUACCCGCUGAGUUUAAGCAUAUCAAUAAGCGGAGG